rnacentral:rRNA from 1 species
UAGAGAAUACUGAGGGGCGCGAGAUAACUCUCUCUAAGGAACUCGGCAAAAUAACCCCGUAACUUUGGGAGAAGGGGUACCCUAUGGGUUGCAAUAACAAGGUCCAAGCGACUGUUUAUCAAAAACACAGGUCUCCGCGAAGUCGAAAGACAAUGUAUGGGGGCUGACGCCUGCCCAGUGCCGGAAGGUUAAAGAAGCUGUUUAGCAGUAGCGAAGCUAGUGACUGAAGCCCCGGUGAACGGCGG